UACCAGCUCCCCGAGUGGUGUGGAUGUUUAUUGGGCCUAAAGCAUCCGUAGCUGGCUGGACAAGUCCCCUGUUAAAUCCACCGAUCUAAUCGUUGGUGUGCGGGGGAUACUGUUCGGCUAGGGGACGGGAGAGGCCGACGGUAUUUCCGGGGUAGGGGUGAAAUCCUAUAAUCCCGGGAAGACCACCAGUGGCGAAGGCUGUCGGCUAGAACGCGCCCGACGGUGAGGGAUGAAAGCUGGGGGAGCGAACCGGAUUAGAUACCCGGGUAGUCCCAGCUGUAAACGAUGCAGGCUAGGUGUUUAGGCGGCCACGUGCCGCUCUAGUGCCGCAAGGAAGCUGUUAAGCCUGCCGCCUGGGGAGCACGGCCGCAAGGCUGAAACUUAAAGGAAUUGGCGGGGGGCACCGACAAGGGGUGAAGCUUGCGGUUU
rnacentral:rRNA from 1 species